AGUGAACGCUGGCGGCAGGCCUAACACAUGCAAGUCGAGCGGCAGCGCGGGGGCAACCCUGGCGGCGAGCGGCGGACGGGUGAGGAAUGCGUCGGAAUCUGCCUCUUUGUGAGGGAUAACGUAGGGAAACUUACGCUAAUACCGCAUACGACCUACGGGUGAAAGUGGGGGACCGCAAGGCCUCACGCAGAGAGAUGAGCCGACGCCGGAUUAGCUAGUUGGCGGGGUAAAGGCCCACCAAGGCGACGAUCCGUAGCUGGUCUGAGAGGAUAAUCAGCCACACUGGAACUGGGACACGGUCCAGACUCCUACGGGAGGCAGCAGUGGGGAAUAUUGGACAAUGGGCGCAAGCCUGAUCCAGCCAUGCCGCGUGUGUGAAGAAGGCCUUCGGGUUGUAAAGCACUUUUGUCCGGAAAGAAAAGCAUUCGGUUAAUAACCGGGUGUCAUGACGGUACCGGAAGAAUAAGCACCGGCUAACUUCGUGCCAGCCGCCGCAGUAAGAC
rnacentral:rRNA from 1 species